AACUGUAACCGCCACCGAUUUGUUCGCUGACAUCGCGCCAACCCUCCUCACGCUGGGAUAUAUGAACAGACUGCGCCCUGGCCGUAGAUCAUCCGAUCGCUUGAAGACCAGCUACCACCGGGAGAGAAGAAGCAGAGAGAGGUAGGAGGAGAGAGGGGGUCGCCGAUCUGAUCCUCUCGCUGCUGGGAAUUUGGGAGUGUCGGGGAGGAGCUGCCGGAGCAUCGCGGAGGCGUCCGCGUGGUGCUCUGAUGUGGAAUGUGAACCUGGGGGCUCUGGUUGUGCUCGUCAUGCGUGAAGAAAAGCGACCGCUGCCGUGGAGUCACACCUCGCCGCGGCUAGAAGAUUACACGCAUCAAGUCUCGGUAAGAUGUCUCUUAUUGAGCUUGCCGUGAUCCCCCAUCGUGUAGUAUCUCUAGUUUCGAAGUUUGGACCGACGGGUUGCCAGAGCAUGCACUUCAGCCAUGGCGCCACCAAGUUAGGCGGCGCCGCCGCGGCGUGCUGUUGGGGAAGAAGGUAACGCCCUUGCCGUUCGAAUCGCGAUGGGCGGUGUAGAUUAACCGAUGCUGUUCACGUUGGGGCGUGUGUGCCGUCCGAUCUGGCUGACGGUUAGGAUUUGUUAUGUGCGCCGAUGUAAUCUGGGCCACCAGAUGGUGAUCGGACGGCUGAAAACACAGGAUACCCCUUCACGCGGCAUAAUAUCUAAAGAGACCCUAGGUUAAUAACAAUUCAACCCGCAGUCCACCUGGUGGGUCAUCUGUGUCUUAGGAUUAAUUGCAUCAGGGCCCCUGACUUCUCUGGAAAUUGAGGCUCAGUCCAGGGUAGAUUAAAAAUAGAGAAAUAAUAUUAGAAUUUCGUUUUUAAUACAAAAACAAUUCUAGAAACUUGUAAAAUGCAUAUAAAAUUCAUUUUAGCUCCAAAUUGAACCAUUCCAAUUUCUAAAAUUUUGUAAUAAUAUUCUCUAUCAUUUAGUGUCUCUGUUUUGUCAUGAAAACAGUAAGAAAAUUAAUUUAUCAUUUAAUCUUAUUUCAAGCACAUUAAACCUUAGGAAAUUCAUAACUUGAAAGCUAUAACUCCAAAUUUAAUGAUUCCAGUUCCUACGAUUUUAGUGUAAUAUGUAGAUUUUUAUUGCGUAUUUUAUUCACAUGUUUGGUGCAAUGUUAAUUUUUGCUAUACCCUGUAUGUAUUGUGUUGAUGCGAGUAGACGAGCAAGCCACUGUGGAUUCUGAGGUUUAACAAGUAGAAGUAGCUGAGCAGGAGCUCAUUGAAUGCAAGUUGUGCCCUUGAUCACUUACUUUUCCCAGCCAUGUUCUUAUUAAUUUUAAUGAUCUGCAUAGGUUAAUUUUGAUGGGAUCCUUUAUGUUAUCCCAGUUUUGAUUACCUCUAUACCUUGAUCACCCCUGAAAUAUUUUUGGGUAGUACUUGCUAUUGCUUUAUGUGGAUUGGGUAUGGAGAUACACUACUCAUGAUUAUCCUGUUAUUAUCUUGUUAUUAUACUGUUCAUGUUAAGAUCAUUAAAUUAAUGGGAACAUGGAGCGACCACCCGGGAAAACAAUGCUACCACAAGGGUUUAAUGGGACGCCCUUGGCUGAUUAACUAGGAAAGCUAGUGGAGGUCUUCCUUACCCGAAAGGGGCAAGGGCAGUAGGGGAGUGGUCAGUGUAGGGAGGUCCCUGUGUUGAUUUUGCUGCGAUGGCGGUCAGGCAAGAACCCUGCACUGGAGCUUCCUAUAAACUGUAGCGGGAUUUCUGAAGCUAGUGGAACUUUGUAAAGGCCUUGUAGUGUUACCCUGCCUCGCCUCCUCGGUAGAGGUGUAUGGGAUUGGCCGUCUCUUGGCAGAUGGGUAACAUGACUUGUGGGUAAAGAUGUGCAACCUCUGCAGAGUGUAAAACUAGUAUACUAGCCGUGCUCACGGUCAUGAGCGGCUCGGACCCUCACAUGAUUAAAUAUGGAACUUAAAUUUAAUUUGACAUUUGCAUCGCAUUUGGGAUUAUUUUACUAUUACUGUUCUUUAUUAUUAUUAAGGUUUGGUAUUUACUUACACUUAGUAAUUGCUAAUAAAAUUUUGACCAACUUAUAAAAGCAAUGCUAAGCUUCAGCCUCUAUUUCAUUGAUCAGCCUUACACUCCAUGAACUCCCACCUUUGGUGAGUUCAUGCCACAUUAUUCCCCAUGACUUGUUGAGCUAUGAACGUAUGUGAGCUCACUCUUGCUGUCUCACAUCCCCCACAGGAGAAGAGAAGGUGGUCGAAGAGGAACCGCCUAACACUGAGGCAUUCGACUUGAUCUAGGUGGCGUUUCUCAGUUGACAUUGGCGCCAUCGAUCCUUAGUUCGUUUUACCUUUAUUCUUUUACUUUGUAAUAAGUCUUCCGCUAUGUAAUAA
rnacentral:lncRNA from 1 species